rnacentral:rRNA from 1 species
GACGAACGCUGGUGGCGUGCUUAACACAUGCAAGUCGAACGGGAUUUAGUAAACAGAAGCCUCGGUGGAAGAUUACUAAUGAGAGUGGCGAACGGGUGAGUAACGCGUGAGCAACCUGCCUAUGACAGUGGGAUAGCCUCGGGAAACCGGGAUUAAUACCGCAUAAAAUCGUAGAAACACAUGUUUUAACGGUCAAAGAUUUAUCGGUCAUAGAUGGGCUCGCGUCUGAUUAGCUAGUUGGUGAGAUAACAGCCCACCAAGGCGACGAUCAGUAGCCGGUCUGAGAGGGUGAACGGCCACAUUGGAACUGAGACACGGUCCAAACUCCUACGGGAGGCAGCAGUGGGGAAUAUUGCACAAUGGGGGAAACCCUGAUGCAGCGACGCCGCGUGAACGAAGAAGGUAUUCGUAUCGUAAAGUUCUGUCCUAUGGGAAGAUAAUGACAGUACCAUAGAAGAAAGCUCCGGCUAAAUACGUG